CGGGCCUGUGGUUCAUGCAAUAUUGAAAUUAUGUUUACUCAAUGCGCAGUUACUGAAGUUUAUAUUUGCCACUAUUUUUUUUUUAUUUCAUAUAAAUGAUUUUUUGAUUUUUCUUCUUCGAAAAAAUUUGUGGUGUUGAAAUAGGGAAUGGACACAGAUACCUAAGCAAUUUAACAAAAGAAAUUUUGUGUAAUGUCAUCAAUCUGUAUUACACGUAGACAGGAUGUUCUCUAGAAAACUAUACGCUAUAUACACACCCGAGAAUACACGCACUGUCGUAAUGGAAAAUUACUGUAAGUUAUAUAAUUACCUGUAAUCAGCUUUGCAACAAAUCAG
rnacentral:lncRNA from 1 species